GGGAUGGUGGGGUGACAGGAGACCCAGGUCCGGAAGGCUGCAGACCACAGAGGGAGGCGGGCGCAGGGAGGCCCCUCUAGCCGCAUGCAGGAGUUGUGCUGGGGAGACUCAGCCUAUGGCCUCUAUGCUGUCCGGUUUCCGCUUUCGGAGAGAAAUGAGAGGAGAGGCAAGUGGAGUCGCUGAACUUUAAUUAAACCGAAGAGAAGACAGUAGGGGGAGGCAAAAAAAAAAAAAAAAAACAAAAAAGCAAGCGAUAGGAGGAAGAAGAGGAGGCGGCGGCAGAGGACUGGAAGGGAGUCCCGGCCCUGGGAAGCCUGGAGCUCUCUCUCAGAGACUGAAAACUGUGUGAUGGUUAGAAAGUGUUCCUUUCCCCACCCCAACUACUCCGCCCUAGUUGAGAAGGCUAAUUCCGGCCCUCUUUUUUAAAGAAAAAAGAGAAAGAGAAAGCAAAGAAAAAGGAAAGGAAAUACAUGUACAUGGCUCAAAACUCAAAAUCAUCAAAAGUUAUUCAAUGACAAAUUGCAGGGGUGCAAAGGAAGAUGCAGGGAGACUUCUUGAAAGGUUGCGCUAAAG